GACUCUGAGCACUGGAGAUGUUCUGAGAUAUCUGUAAUGUCCAGCGUGCUUUUGUACUUGGUAGAGCGACAUCGAUUUCAAUCUCUUGAACAAACCAGUCAGCUCACAAGCAAGUAUUCACUCGAAUGCCUGUUUGAUUCCCCUGUGAAAUGUUCCAGCUGACACUGAUUGAUUUUGUGGAGUGUUUAACAGGUGGUCAUUUGGUCUGUGCGUGCCUGAUUACACAUGUGUGAGAAUGGUGAUUUCAAGGUGGGAUGGGGGUCAGUGGUCCAGUGCUGCUCUAGAGGGCUCAACACAGCCAGACCCUCCAUGUUGAACAGCUAAACACCAGAAUGGCACAGACAACAGACGAGGCUGAUGGAGAGGCACACAAGGAGGAGUAUAGUAAAAGCUUUUCUUUAUUAAACAAACUGAAGGCAACGUCAAAAGAAUCAACUGGAGGAAGACAUCCACGAAGCCACAGGGAUCCAGCAGGUAAGUGAUGAGACAGACGAAGAGCCUGUAACCUCGAGACCAGUCAAUGAAGGAAUGAGGCGAGUAGACCUUUAUGGUGCAUGAGAAGUGGAGUCAGGUGUAAGUGAUUAGUAAUCUGGUGAUUGUGAUCAGGUGUAGGUGGAUGUCGUGGCUGGUGAGUCCGUGACACUGAUAUUAUAGAUUUUGACUUUG